GUGGCGUCCUGGACAUUGGACACUAUGCAGAAGUCUGUCUUCAGAUGUCAUCUGGACCAUGGACAGAAUUUGUUGGCAAUGAUGUUAAGGGAUUGCCUAAACAAGGACUGUCCAACAACUGUGUAAUGUUUGUAGUGAUGUAUGCACUACUUUGUGAUGGGAGCAUCAUUUGAUUUCAGCGAGAAUGAUAUGAUGACAAUACGAAGAUGGUGGUCUCUCACUCUCUGGAGAAACUUCCCUGUGAAUCAUGAUCAAAAAGCUUCUACUUCCUGGUUCUGUUGCUCUGAA